rnacentral:lncRNA from 1 species
UAUGGCGGCCAUAUAUAAAAACCAAAAUUUCACAUGUUUCCAGUCAAUGUUGACGUUAAUAUUUAUGAUAUUGAAAUCUGUUUAUGAAGUUUGAUAUCAUUUUCUAUUUUUAUCCUAAACUUAUUUUUUUUACAAAUAGAUUAAUCAAAUUAAAUUUAUAUAUAGUAGUUAUUUAUAAAUGCAUCCAUGAGAUAUUGUCUGAGAUAUCAUUUAUUUUAUCGUUAAUUUUUCAUCGUUAUUUCUACGGAUCUAUUUUAUGUAUUGGUUUAGCGUAGGAGUCGCCUCGGUCCCGCCCCAUUCCGUUCCGCGCUCCGGUGGUAACCGGGGGCGGGCCAGAAUAUCUGCCCUGGUUUUCGUUUUUUCCCUCGUUGCCCCGAUCAUAUUCAGUGGCGGGUCUCGGGGCAGUGCGAAACCCGGGAGGGUCGCCCCGGUUUGAAAAAAUUAAUUUUUAUUAUUUUAAAUUAUAUUAUAUUAGAUAUAGGUUUAUUAAAAUUAAAAAUUUUAAGAAUUAAAUUUUAAAUUUACCCACCCGCCCGUGACCCACCUCAUUUUCACCUUUGUUUUAGCCACACAAAAAAUAGCUAAUAAAUAAAUAUCUAUCUUUUCUAUUUCUCAUAUCUUACAAUAUAUAUAUUAUCUCUCGGCCCGACUUUAAAUUAUUGCUUACAAUGUCUUCAUCGUCAUCUACCGAAUCUUCAAAUGUAACCAGGUUUUCUUCAACAGAUGAGGAAAAAGUGAGAUUCGAGGACUCUUCAACGUUUAUAAAGUCGUCAUCUACCGAAUCUUGAAUUGCAACCAGGUUUUCUUCAACAGAUGAGGAAGAAGGGAAAUUCGAGGAAUCUUCAACGUUUAUAACGUCGUCAUCUACCGAAUCUUCAAUUGCAACCAGGUUUUCUUCAACAGAUGAGGAAAGAGUGAGUUCCGAGUACUCUUCAACAUUUACAACGUCGUCAUCUAUGGAAUCAUCAAUGGAAACCAGAUUUUCUUCGUCGUCGAAAAGAAAAGAUGGGUUGGAAAAUCCUUUAAGGAAGGACAAACCAGUAUUAUCUUUGGACUCAAC